GACGAACGCUGGCGGCGUGCUUAACACAUGCAAGUCGAGCGGAGCGGCGAACGGGUGAGUAACGCGUGAGUAACUGCCCCCCUCCCUGGGAUAACAGUUGGAAACGGCUGCUAAUACCGGAUAGUGGGGGAUGACUCGCGUCCUAUCGGCUUGUUGGUGGGGUAGUGGCCGACCAAGGCGACGACGGGUUGCCUGCCUGAGAGGGCGACCGGCCACAUAGGGCUGAGAUACGGCCCAAAGUGCUACGGGGGGCAGCAGGGGGGAAUAUUGCGCAAUGGGGGGAACCCUGAUGCAGAAACGCCGCGUGCGGAAUGACGGCUUUCGGGUUGUAAACCGCUUUCAGCCAUGACGCGGUAGUGGCAGAAGAAGCACCGGCUAACUACGUGCCAGCCGCCGCGGUAAUUC
rnacentral:rRNA from 1 species